GGAGCUGUGGCACAGCAGGUUAAAGCCCUGGCUUGCAGUGCCAGCAUCCUAUAUGGGCUUUGGUUUGAGUCCCAGCUGCUCCA
rnacentral:tRNA from 1 species